CAUGGCUGGAAACCAUUCAGGAAGAAGGAUGUGAGGAAGAAGAAGAAACUGAGGUGGCGUUUCAGGAGGCACAAGACGCUGAGGUUGGACAGAUGGUGUCCAUGUGGCUGGUGUAAGAACGCUGCAUUUACUUUACAUUUUGCUUUGGAGUCGGAAGUUCCAAAAUCACCAGGAGAGCUCCUCAGGCAUCUCCUGCCUGUAAUUCCUGGGAAAUGCCACCUGCCACCCAUCCUUGGAAGCGUCGCCCAUUCUCAGGAUCUCAUGCGUCACCAUUCAUCACAGUCACAGCGCUUGCAGACAUCUGGAUAAAAGGAAAAGCCCAUUUUUUUAAAACUUACACGUUAAAUUUUCCUCUAAUUACCAUUUUAUUCUUUUAAAUUUCAUUAUGUUUAAUUACAUUUAGUAUGGAUUAAGGCACAGCCAGCCUGGAUUAAGGCAUCACCAGCCUGGCAUCAGACUCUCCGGACAAUGCCAGCCCAGAGGGGGCUGACCUGGAGGACAUUCCCCCGGAGGACAUGGAGUGGGAGCCUCCAGGUCUUGACCUGAGUCCCACUCCGUGGUGUCAGCCCCGUGGCCAAAGUUUCCCCAGCCGAGGAG